ACUUUUUGUCUUUUUAGAUGGAAUAAAACUGUAGUUCUGAGGGACUGGAUCUGAAGUUCAUUUCCCAGAAGAACUCAAACCAGGUUUCAAUAGCCACAGUGUGUGUCAGCUCUGACUGGCAGCAUCCAUCAGCUCCCUGGAAUCACACAGACACAUCUGAAGGAGAGAGGUUAAGAGCCGACAACAUGAACAAACUGCUUAUCAUUACCGUCCUGGUUACACUCAUUGCACUCAGUGCUGAGAGCUUCCGUUUGCCAAGGCAGGCAUUGGAGGAAAAGACAGACAUCCUGACGAAGGUCAUAGACAGGAUCAAGUCCUGUUAUGAAGACAUACCGGGCGGCAACCUACGACUGAAAGCCGGGGCCCUUGUCAACGAUGCCAUGUUCGUUUGGGGCAUGUAUAUGUCCAUGAUUCAGGAGCAUAUUUACAAUCUCCUGUACCCACGGCAGUAACACCCCUGCUGUCUGCUAACUCCAAAAUCAUCCUCUUCAACAACCACAUCUCAUGCUGAGGAACACAGACCAGUGUCUGCUCCAUUAGGGCCUUCUAACCUAACAAGAAAUUAUUCUAAAAACAUACACAAUAAUAAUCAGCUAUUAAACUCGGGUUUGUGAGAAUCUAUAUUUCUAAGUUGAUCAUUUUGCAAAUAACAUUUUCAUAAAAUCGAUGUCAAUACCUGCAGUACAAUACACACAGAUGCAAGUAUGUUUUUUGGAGUUCAUUGAUGCAGGGCUCUGCGUUUAUCUCUGUAUCAAUUAAUAUUAGCAGCCUGCACUGCAUUUGAUUUGUCAAGAUGUAAAUUCCUAUUUUUGAAGUAGACCUAUGCUCAUAGAUCUAAAUGUUCCCAUUGAAAUAUUUGUGUUAGCCUAGAGAUGUACUGAAUGCAUAACACUGGAAUAUGAGAGAGUUCGGACAGAUAGCGACGAAAUGAGAUGUUUGAGCCCUGAAAUUCUAACAUCAUCAUGUAGACAUAGGAGAGACACAGCGAAAACAAUAAAUACAAGAAGCAUGGCUAGGAUGUUCAUCUUUACAAAUUGUAAGACCAAAAUGUGCUCUGUCACCUAUAUGUGAGGCUGAGAACACUCAAAGUAGGGGUACUAUCAAUACUAGUGCAGAGUAGCUGUAGGAAUUUGGGCAUGAUGUUGGCUCAAUCUGGAGAGACAGUAGCCAUUCUUCAUGGGGACGAUGGAGCUUAGUCCCGGCGGUGAAGAGGAUGGAGGAGGGCUGGAACAGAGGCGGGCAUGAAUGAGGGAUAUAUAUAUAUUUAUAUAUUGAUAUGUAUUGGUUGGGAGAGGAAGGGGAGGGGCCUGCGAUGACAGCAUGGGGAUCUAGAACCCAACAUAGAGUGAUGAGAAAUAGAAGGGGAAUGUUGUCUUCCUGAUGGAACUUUUGCUUUAGCUCCAUUGUAUUUGUUAAAAAGGGUGUUAGAGUAAAUGAAAUGGAUACUAGGAAAUGGUAGAACGUACCAAUGUGUAAUAUACAUUGUAAUGUAUGAUUAACAAGCUGCAUUUUAAAGUUAUAUUUUUCUGAGGCAGUGUCUCAAAAUCAAUCCUGUUAUUAUAUUGGCCAAUGUACAACAAUACAUUCAGUUAUUGACUGGGUCAGUUAUAAAUAUAUUAUAUGCAUAAUAAAUAGCAAUAUAUAAUUAUGUAUUAAACAAUGCAACUGUACACAAGCUUCUAGGAGGUGGCAGGGGUGUAUGGUUAAGAUGUUGAUCCCAAGAUGAUAUUUCUUUGCAAAGAAGUGUUGAUCGGUCGAUCUUCGUUCCUAUCCUCACCUAUGGUCAUGAGGGCUGGGUGAUGACCGAAAGGACGAGAUUGCGGGUACAAGCGGCCGAGAUGAGUUUUCUCAGAAGGGUGGCUGGCGUCUCCCUUAGGGAUAGGGUGAGAAGCUCAGCCAUCCGUGAGGAACUCGGAUUAGAGCCGCUGCUCCUUUACUUAGAAAGGAGUCAGCUGAGGUGGUUCGGGCAUCUGGUAAGGAUGCCCACUGGGCGCCUUCCUUGGGAGGUGUUUCUGGCACGUCCAGUGGGGAGGAGACCUCGGGAAGACCCAGGACUAGGUGGAGAGAUUAUAUCUCAACACUGGCCUGGGAACGCCUCGGGAUCCCCCCGUCAGAGCUGGUCAAUGUGGCCCGGGAAAGGGAAGUCUGGGGCCCCCUGCUUGAGCUGCUCCCCCCGCGACCCGACCCCGGAUAAGCGGACGAAAAUGAGAUGAGAUGAAUAUCUUAAAGGUUGGGUAUGGAAUUCGGUUUUUUGGCAAUUUUUGCAAAAAAUUGAAAUCCUUAUCAUAACCCACUUACAGCCACCGUGUUAGAAGUACUGAGAUGAAAAUUAAACAAGUCAAUCAUUUGUGGAACGGGCAGGGCUUGAAAAAUCCAGCCAAUGAUUUCCAGACCCACCGAGUGGCAUUGGACAGUAAGUACGUCAAUCAAACGGUCGUCCUGCUCCCGCACGACCCCUUCGUGCACGUACUCAAAGCUCGUGACCCAGAGCAAGCUUCUGUUUUUUGUUAUCCUGUGGUAGCUGCUGGAGCUAGCUAACUAGCUAAUGUCCCGCUCUCGCGCAUCUGUUCGCUGAUGCAUGAUUGCACAUCCAUGUACUUGGAAUGGGUGGAGUCAGAGUCAGCGUUGAAGGAGAGGGGGUAGGACCAUUUGAGUUGUGUAUUUUCAAAAUCUGCUGGCGUUUCGCAAAUCCCAUACCCAACCUUUAAUUGUUGAAAUACCUAUUAGUAAAUUUGUUUUUGGACUAAUUGUAUAAUGACUGAGAAUAUUUAUAAAGAUCUCAAACUGGACGAUAAUGUGAUGUCUGUACAAUGAAUCACAUCUUAUUCUCUCUCUAAAGGUUAAGAGCUGACAACAUGAACAAACUGCUUAUCAUUACCGUCCUGGUUACACUCAUUGCACUCAGUAGGUCCCAACUAGGGUUCUAAAUCACUUUAGAUUUGUGUAUUUUUAACUGCCAGAUUGGAAAAACCAACCAGCCAAGGAAUUAUUUGCAAAUGGACUUCAUUUUGGACUUAACCUGAAAAAUAGAAUCUCUUUGGCGUUGUUAUUGUUAUGAUAACCCCCGCUGACCUGCUGUGUCCAGGUGCUGAGAGCUUCCGUUUGCCAAGGCAGGCAUUGGAGGAAAAGACAGACAUCCUGACGAAGGUCAUAGACAGGAUCAAGUCCUGUUAUGAAGCGAUACCGGGCGGCAACCUACGACUGAAAGCCGGGGCCCUUGUCGACGAUGCCAUGAUCGUUUGGGGCAUGUAUAUGUCCAUGAUUCAGGAGCAUAUUUACAAUCUCCUGUACCCACGGCAGUAACAGCCCUGCUGUCUGCUAACUCCAAAAUCAUCCUCUUCAACAACCACAUCUCAUGCUGAGGAACACAGACCAGUGUCUGCUCCAUUAGGGCCUUUUAACCUAACAUGAAAUUAUUCUAAAAACAUACACAAUAAUAAUCAGCUAUUAAACUCGGGUUUGUGAGAAUCUAUAUUUCUAAGUUGAUCAUUUUGCAAAUAUCAUUUUCAUAAAAUGGAUGUCAAUACCUGCAGUACAAUACACACAGAUGCAAGUAUGUUUUUUGGAGUUCAUUGAUGCAGGGCUCUGCGUUUAUCUCUGUAUCAAUUAGUAUUAGCAGCCUGCACUGCAUUUGAUUUGUCAAGAUGUAAAUUCCUAUUUUUGAAGUAGACCUAUGCUCAUAGAUCUAAAUGUUCCCAUUGAAAUAUUUGUGUUAGCCUAGAGAUGUACUGAAUGCAUAACACUGGAAUAUGAGAGAGUUCUGACAGAUAGCGACGCAAUGAGAUGUUUGAGCCCUGAAAUUCUAAAAUCAUCAUGUAGACAUAGGAGAGACACAGCGAAAACAAUAAAUACAAGAAGCAUGGCUAGGAUGUUCAUCUUUACAAAUUGUAAGACCAAAAUGUGCUCUGUCACCUAUAUGUGAGGCUGAGAACACUCAAAGUAGGGGUACUAUCAAUACUAGUGCAGAGUAGCAGUAGGAAUUUGGGCAUGAUGUUGGCUCAAUCUGGAGAGACAGUAGCCAUUCUUCAUGGGGACGAUGGAGCUUAGUCCCGGCGGUGAAGAGGAUGGAGGAGGGCUGGAACAGAGGCGGGCAUGAAUGAGGGAUAUAUAUAUAUUUAUAUAUUGAUAUGUAUUGGUUGGGAGAGGAAGGGGAGGGGCCUGCGAUGACAGCAUGGGGAUCUAGAACCCAACAUAGAGUGAUGAGAAAUAGAAGGGGAAUGUUGUCUUCCUGAUGGAACUUUUGCUUUAGCUCCAUUGUAUUUGUUAAAAAGGGUGUUAGAGUAAAUGAAAUGGAUACUAGGAAAUGGUAGAACGUACCAAUGUGUAAUAUACAUUGUAAUGUAUGAUUAACAAGCAGCAUUUUAAAGUUAUAUUUUUCUGACGCAGUGUCUCAAAAUCAAUCCUGUUAUUAUAUUGGCCAAUGUACAACAAUACAUUCAGUUAUUGACUGGGUCAGUUAUAAAUAUAUUAUAUGCAUAAUAAAUAGCAAUAUAUAAUUAUGUAUUAAACAAUGCAACUGUACAAAAGCUUCUAGGAGGUGGCAGGGGUGUAUGGUUAAGAUGUUGAUCCCAAGAUGAUAUUUCUUUGCAAAGAAGUGUUGAUCGGUCGAUCUUCGUUCCUAUCCUCACCUAUGGUCAUAUUAUUUGUAACAUACUAUUACUAUACUAUGACAUACUAUUUGUUUUGAGGUUGUCGGAGGGGGUUAAAAGGUUACUCCAGUCUGUGGACUCAAAAACAUCCUUGGAAAGCUAGGACACUGUCAUUAGUCCACUGCUUGAUGUUCUUAGUGACCGUCUUAACCCUCCUUAUAAUGGGAAUGUAUGCCGGGAUGAGCUGAACAGUAUUGUUGUCAGCGGAGCCCAAAGGUGGGAGUGCAACCGACCUGUAUGCAUCUGGAAGUGACCCGUAGCAUUUGUCUAGCGUCUUCCCCAAGCAGGUGCUGCAUGUAACAUAUUGGUGAAAACCUUCAAGGGCUUUUACAGGGGAGCAGUGGUUGAGAUCACCCAGGAAAAAUGUUGGUGAGCCUGGUGAGAUACGUUCCAGUCUGUUCAGUGAUGUUGAGAUAUGUUCAGUGGCAGCUGCAGCAUUAGCUUUGAGAUGGAUGUACAUUAAAAAGAGCUGUGGGAAUUCCCUGGGUAAGUAGAAGGGGCGAAGGGAGACCGCCAAGAGUUCAAUGUUAGUAUUGCACUUAUAAUAUCCAACCAGAUUAGGAUUCCCCUGAGGCAGCAGUACUUGGGUCAAAACAGUGGAUCAACUUUCUACUCAAGUAGUAGAUAUCAAAUCUGCAUGACUCAGAGAAUCAAAGGCAAAAUCAGAUCAUCAUGCCAUCAUACUGUAUAAUGCCUUGAGGUUCAGCAUAAUGGAUUCCAUGGAUUGUUGGCAGUAUCACACAAAAUUCACUCUGACAUAUAUUUGACUGAUAAAUAAAUAAAUAUUGUAUAUAUAGGUAUACCAACGAUUAAAAGUACUCAAGAUCCUUUCUCCCAUGCUGGAACUAAAACAUUCAAAACACUUUGAACAAUGUUGUAACAGUCAAAGUAUGUCAUUUUAAGCCCCAACACUAUGAAGAGGGGGAAACGUUCUGCCUUUUUAGAUGGAAUAAAACGGAACGUCAUUCUGAGGGGCUUGAUCUGAAGUUCUUCUCCCAGAAGAGCUCAAACCAGGUUUCAAUAGCCACAGUGUGUGUCAGGUGAGGUGAGGCAGAUGCGGCUGCCUCACCUCAUAGGCUUUCUCAUAAAGCCUUUCCUCAUAGGCUUUAUGAGAAAGGAAUACAUUUGACCAUCAAUAAAAGAAAGGUGCAAGGAGACUCUACAUUUAUUUAGCUGACCUACUUUACUAACUCAAAACAAAUAGUUAGUGCUCUGGACUUAGGACUAUCUAAGUGGGACAUGAGUAACUAUUGUGCAAGUAGCCUAAUGAGUGAGCUGGCUUGGUGCUUGAUGCCAGGGCAAGGUGUAAUACCAAUCGGAGACAUGAUUUAAACACCAUGGGAACAACGGACAUACAAUGGGUAUCCAAUCUGCUGUCGACCCCCCCUGUAUUUUCUUUCAAGAUUUUAGAUUUUAGCGCAUUAAUUUAACCCAUAAUGACAACCUGCCGACUCAGUUGUUUAUCUAGACAUAAUAAAAGAUUGUCAGCACAAAGUCAUGAUAUUUACUCUGCUGCUGUAUAUAUACAGCUCUGACUGGCAGCGUCCAUCAGAUCCCUGGAAUCACACAGACACAUCUGAAGGACAGAGGUGCUGAGAGCUUCCGUUUGCCCAGGCAGGCAGUGGAGGAAAAGACAGACAUCCUGACGAAGAUCACAGACGGCAUCAAGAUUUCUUAUGAAAGGCUCCCGGGAGAAAACCUACGACUGAAAGCCGAGGCCCUUGUCGACGAUGUCAUGAUGUCUGCGUUCAUGUAUAUGUACAUGAUUCAGGAGCGUAUUUACUAUCUUGUGUUUCCAGAGCAGUAACGGCACUGCUGUCUGCCAACUCCAAAACCAUCCUCUUCAACAACGAUAUCUCAUGCUGAGGAACACAGUCCAGUGUCUGCUCCAUUAGGGCCUUCUAACCUUACAAUAAAUUAUUCUAAAUGCAUACCCACUAAUAAUCAGCUAUUAAACUCAGGUUUGUCAAAAUCUAUAUUUCUAAGUUGAUCAUCAUUUUUGCAAAUAACAUUUUCAUAAAAUGGAUGUCAAUACCUGCGGUCCAGGCUCCUUAUGUACAAUGCACACAGAUGCAAGUACGUUUUUUGGAGUUCAUUGAUGCAGGGCUCUGCAUUUAUAUUUGUAUUAAUGAACAUUAGCAGCCUGCACUGCAUUUGAUUUGACAAGCUGUGAAUUCCUAUUUUUGAAGUAGGCCUAUAGAUGAAAAUGAUCCCAUUGAAAUAUUUGUUUGUAAGCCUAAAGAUUAACUGAAUGCAUAACACUGGAAUAAGAGGGAGUUCUGACAGAUUGCGCCGCAAUGAAUGUUUGAGCCCUGAACUUCUAACAUCAUCAUGUUCCUCUUCCCAAAUUGUAUGGCCAAAAUGUGCUCUGUGACCUAGAUGUGAGGCUGAGAACACUCAAAGUAGGGGUUAUAUUAAUACUAGAGUCACAAAUAGAAUCAAAUGUGCUGCACAAGCAACUUUCUAGAAGACAACUACAAGACAGAGUGCAAAGUAGGAAUUAGGGCAUGAUGUUGGCUCAAUCUGGAGAGACUAGUAGUCAUUCUUCACGGGGACGAUGGAGCUUAGUCCUUAGAGGUGAAGAGGAUGGAGGUUGGCUGGAACAGAGGCGAGCAUGAAUGAGGGAUGUAGAUAUUGAUAUAUAUUAGUUGGGAGAGGAAGGGGAGGGGCCUGCGAUGACAGCACGGGGAUCUAGAACCCAACAUAGAGUGAUGUCUUCCUGAUGGAACUUUUGCUUUAGCUCCAUUGUAUUUGUUAAAAAGGGUGUUAGAGUAAAUAAAAUAGAUACUAGGAGAUGGUAGAAUGUACCAAUGUAAUAGACAUUGUAAUGUAUGAUUAACAACCUACAUUUUUAAGUUAUAUUUUUCUGACACAGUGUCUCAAUAUCAAUCCUGUUUGGCCAAUGUAGAACAAUACAUUGAAUUGUUGACUCGGUCAAUUAUAAAUACAUUAUAUAUAUAAUAAAUAAUUAUAUAUAAUUAUUUAUUGAACCAAGCCAAUGUACACAAGCUUCUUGGAGGUGGG
ensembl:lncRNA